rnacentral:misc_RNA from 1 species
GAUGAAGAACGUAGCGAAAUGCGAUAAGUAAUGCGAAUUGCAGAAUUUCCGUGAGUCAUCGAAUCUUUGAACGCACAUUGCGCCCACUGGUAUUCCGGUGGGCAUGCCUGUUCGAGCGUCAUUAUCCUCCCUCAAAACUCCUGUUUUGGUGUUGGGCCGCGUUGGUCACCUCCGACCAACGGGCCUCAAAGACAAUGACGGCGUCCGUGGGACCCUCUUCGCAGUGAGCUUUUGUUAGCGCGCGUUGAGUUUAAAGGACCCUCCGGGCCAGCCACCUUUAUCUAUUUUACAAGGUUGACCUCGGAUCAGGUAGGAAUACCCGCUGAACUUAAGCAUAUCAAUAAGCGGAGGA